GCUUCCUCUGACUUUUGAAAGAAAGAAGAAAAAGCUCAACCAGUGUGUUUCUAGAUGACACAAAGGAAAACCGCUGCAAGGCAGAUUUCUCACAUGCACAGGAACCUACCAGCAAUCUGAUGAUAUCCAAAGAGAACGGGAGUGAUCACAGCCCUACAGUGAAGUUCCUGGCCACAGGAUUUCAAUGGAUACAGCAAUUUAGGAAGCCAGACACACAGAGUUCUGGAAUCAGUGCUGAGUCAGACUUCAUGUUGAUAGUCCAGACCUUUCCAUCCAUUCUGGGAGAUCUGCCAGUGUUUGGAGGCCAAAACCCAUGUCCACUCCAUAUGGAGAGGGAAGAAUGGCGUAGAAAUAAAUGGUGACCUCAGAAACUUUCUGGAUUCCUCAGCAGACUUUUCCUAAAAAGGCAGCGGACAACGGACGGCGGCAACGAUCCGUAGUGCCCUUAACGACCGUUUGCUCCGUCUUCUUGUCCGCUCAGCUCCCAGUCCCAAGGUGUGGUUCCUACAAGGGCUGGGUCCUGGCUGCAAACACAGCAAGGUGGGCCGGCUGUCCAUGUGCUUAACUGUGUGGGCCCCCGCCCGCAGGCCCCUCCCCGCAGUGUUGCUGCAGUCCAUUGGGUUGAGAGACUUUUGUGGAGGCCGGUUCUCAGACCAGAAGUCAGUGGUGCCAAUGCCUGUGACAAACAGGAUGAGGAGAGCUGCUUUUAGGGGAGAGCAAACAAGGCAAUGAGGUGAGGCCUCCUGGCACAACAGUCAGUGCUGUAGGGCAGUUUUGCCAGCCACACAACAUGCCACUUGGACAGUGUGUGACGGGAGGCACUCAUGAAUUGGUCUCAGCACAGUGUGGCCUAUUUUAGGGAUUAUGAACAAAUCCAAAAGUAGGCCAUGGCUCUAUGUUUGCUCUGUUCUGUAUCACUAAUAAUUAGAGGCUCUUUAAAUCCUGAAGUGCAAUGUUUGGCUCUUGCUAUAAUUGAUGCAGUUUUAAUUCUUCUGUGAGGAACAUCAUCUGUUCUAUUAGCUGUAUAGCUGCUGAUCAAACACAGCAGACCACAUUAACUCUCACCUAACUCCAAAAACUUCAGUUACUUACCCUCUGUAACUAAAACAUAGUUUACUGUGUUUGAUCUUUAACAUUUCUUGUGCAUUAGAUAUUAUUUCAUGGAUACAUCAGCUGGAUGCCUAACUUCUAGAGAGUGGCUGAGCAUAUUUCAACAGAUUUGUCUGUUUACUCCUGAAUACAGAAAACUAAUUUCCUAACUGCCACUACUAAACAAAAGAUAUAUUAUUGGUACACAGUCUUCUGUAGGAUAGCUUCAUUUACAGCAAUUUUUAAAUAAAAAAAUACAAUUAUUUAUUUGCUUCCAUGUGUCACAAAUUAAUUAAAUGGCUGUUAACCUAACUGAAGUGACAGUACAACUGUGAGAACACCAAUGGUAGCUCCAGAGGCUUUAUUUUUCACAUGAUAAUAGUGAGUUUAUUUGUGUAUAGAGUCAAUAUCUUAGCUUGUUUUAUUCAAAUUAUCUGCCCUUUAUGUGGGAAUAGUUCUAUAAUGUACACCAAACAAUCUUACUUAUGGAUCUUAUAUUUCUACUUGUAUUUUCCUAGUUUUUGGACAUUAACCAAAAAAAUCCUACAGAGAUUUUUCAAAAUAUUAUCCCUUCCCUGGAGGUUGUUGCCAUAGACACUCUGGCCAUGAAACAGUAGAUUUUGUGACUCAAAUAGCCACAGAUUAGGAUAUUUAUUCAGUGAGCCUUUGCACUUACUUAAAAUUCUGUUUCACUUACUCUGUAGAACUGGUGCAAACAAAAAAGGGCAAAUUUUAUAUGUGAAAAUGCUCCUUCUUAGUCAUUGAUUCCCUGAAUAAUAUGCUGGAAUUAUUAAUGAAUAUUUUUGUAUUGUUUUAAUGUCACACGUAUCAUUAUUAUUUUUGUUAUUUCAUUAACAAUACUACUUCCUUUGCUUUCUCACCACUUCACUUCCAAAUAGCAUCUAUUCCUUAAUCCAUCAUUUUAGGCUGUAUACCCACUAUAUGAGGUUCCAUGUUGUUUAUGUACUGAGAAUUGUUGGAUGGCAGAAUGGAAAAUUUACCUAUCUCAAGCUAAUAAAGAAA